UUGGGUGUUAACCCGCACGCGUAAUGAAAGUGAACGUAGGUGAGAGCUUCGGCGCAUCAUCGACCGAUCCUGAUGUAUUCGGAUGGAUUUGAGUAGGAGCGUUAAGCCUUGGACCCGAAAGAUGGUGAACUAUGCUUGGAUAGGGUGAAGCCAGAGGAAACUCUGGUGGAGGCUCGCAGCGGUUCUGACGUGCAAAUCGAUCGUCAAAUCUGAGCAUGGGGGCGAAAGACUAAUCGAACCAUCUAGUAGCUGGUUACCGCCGAAGUUUCCCUCAGGAUAGCAGUGUUGAUUCUCAGUUUUAUGAGGUAAAGCGAAUGAUUAGGGACUCGGGGGCGCUUUAUAGCCUUCAUCCAUUCUCAAACUUUAAAUAUGUAAGAAGCCCUUGUUACUUAAUUGAACGUGGGCAUUCGAAUGUACCAACACUAGUGGGCCAUUUUUGGUAAGCAGAACUGGCGAUGCGGGAUGAACCGAACGCGAGGUUAAGGUGCCGGAGUGGACGCUCAUCAGACACCACAAAAGGCGUUAGUACAUCUUGACAGCAGGACGGUGGCCAUGGAAGUCGGAAUCCGCUAAGGACUGUGUAACAACUCACCUGCCGAAUGUACUAGCCCUGAAAAUGGAUGGCGCUCAAGCGUCCCACCCAUACCUCGCCCUCAGGGUAGAAACGAUGCCCUGAGGAGUAGGCGGCCGUGGAGGUCAGUGACGAAGCCUAGGGCGUGAGCCC
rnacentral:rRNA from 1 species